CAGCCGCCGCGGUAAAACAGAGGGUGCGAGCGUUAAUCGGAUUUACUGGGCGUAAAGCGUGCGUAGGCGGCUUCUUAAGUCGGAUGUGAAAUCCCUGAGCUUAACUUAGGAAUUGCAUUCGAUACUGGGAAGCUAGAGUAUGGGAGAGGAUGGUAGAAUUCCAGGUGUAGCGGUGAAAUGCGUAGAGAUCUGGAGGAAUACCGAUGGCGAAGGUAGCCAUCUGGCCUAAUACUGACGCUGAGGUACGAAAGCAUGGGGAGCAAACAGGAUUAGAUACCCGCGUAGUCCCUGUCUCUUAUAC
rnacentral:rRNA from 1 species